rnacentral:rRNA from 1 species
GACGAACGCUGGCGGCGUGCUUAACACAUGCAAGUCGAACGGAAAGGCCCUGCUUUUGUGGGGUGCUCGAGUGGCGAACGGGUGAGUAACACGUGAGUAACCUGCCCUUGACUUUGGGAUAACUUCAGGAAACUGGGGCUAACACCGGAUAGGAGCUCCUGCUGCAUGGUGGGGGUUGGAAAGUUUCGGCGGUUGGGGAUGGACUCGCGGCUUAUCAGCUUGUUGGUGGGGUAGUGGCUUACCAAGGCUUUGACGGGUAGCCGGCCUGAGAGGGUGACCGGCCACAUUGGGACUGAGAUACGGCCCAGACUCCUACGGGAGGCAGCAGUGGGGAAUAUUGCACAAUGGGCGGAAGCCUGAUGCAGCAACGCCGCGUGCGGGAUGACGGCCUUCGGGUUGUAAACCGCUUUCGCCUGUGACGAAGCGUGAGUGACGGUAAUGGGUAAAGAAGCACCGGCUAACUACGCG